rnacentral:misc_RNA from 1 species
ACACCUCAACUCUCAUGGUUUUUCCGUGAUGAGCUUGGACUUUGGGGGUCUUGCCGGCCUGCCGUCGGCUCCUCUCAAAUGAAUCAGCUUGCCAGUGUCUGGUGGCGUCACGGGUGUGAUAACUAUCUACGCUUGUGGCUAUCCACCGGGUAACCUUCGGUCUGAAGGUUCACUGGAGCUCAUAGAGGCCCUUUGUGUGGGCAGCUUCUCGAAC